AUGAAUGUUGAAGGUCAAAAAUUUUUUGUUUAUGGAUACGGAGGAACUGGAAAAACUUUCUUAUGGACUACUUUGCUUAAUUCUGUAAGAAGCAAAGGGAAAAUUGCAUUAGCAGUUGCAUCAUCGGGAAUUGCUUCCCUACUGCUACUAGGGGGUCGAACCCCCCAUUCCCGUUUUAAAAUUCCUUUAGACAUUUCUCAGAGUUCCUUGUGUAGUAUAAAGAAAAAUACACACUUAGCAGAACUUAUCCAAAAAACUUCUCUUAUUGUAUGGGAUGAGGCCCCUGUUAAUCAUAGAUAUUGUUUUGAAGCAUUGGACUAUACACUUAGGGAUAUAUUAUCAGAAACAAGGCAAAAUGCAGAAAAUAAGCAAUUUGGUGGUAUAACUGUUGUGCUUGGUGGAGAUUUUCGACAAACACUUCCAGUAAUACAGAAUGCAACAAAAGCCCAAAUUCUAAGGUCAUGCAUUGUUAAUUCUUAUUUAUGGAGACAAUGUAAGCUUCUCCAGUUAACUGAAAAUAUGAGGCUAAAGUCAGGAAAUCUCUCCACCUCAGACAGAGAGGAGCUAAGUAAUUUUGCUGAAUGGCUUCUUAGGGUGGGCAAUGGAACAGAACCUAUUGUUUCUGUCCCAAAUGAUUCCAGUAACUCAUUUAUAAAGAUUCCAGAGUCUUUGCUUCUGUCGUCAGAUUGUAGGAACCUUGAUGGAUUGAUAUCAUUUGUCUAUGACUUACGUUCUGAGCCAGCAAAUAUUUCAUCAUAUUUGUGUCAACGUGCAAUUUUAGCACCUACAAAUGAGAGGUUUCAGAUAUAA
rnacentral:rRNA from 1 species